GUUCAUUAUUGGGCUUUUACUGUGCAAUGGUGUUUACUUCUUGCCAAAUACUUGCUGCUUGACCUUCUCUCGGCUAUGGCAAUAUCGACCUAAAGACCUAAGAGUUCCUGUUGACAGGAGAUUAUCUUCUGAGAUGUUAUUAAAACAGGUGAUUGCAGCAGAUUUUGGACUGAGCAUGCCAACAUGGGUCAAACAGUUAACAAGGAAAGGAAGAACAAACACUCGUGGAGCUGGAUGUAGACAUUGAGACUUUUAUAUGCAGGUGACAUUGCUGAAAUCUGGAAUGUUGGCUUAAUAAAUCAAAAAACAAUCUGGAACUUGGUUCAUCUUUUGAAUGGUGAUGAUUAUUCUCUGACACUUGGCUUUUCUAGUUGUUAGAUUCUGGAUAGCUGUGCUGAGAGGGGAUGUUCAGAUUAAAGUACAUGAUGGGGUGACAAAGAUUCUGUAACAACAGAGUUGAUGGAAAAGGAUUAUGGUCCUUUUGAAACUCUUCCUUGGUGGGAACCU